rnacentral:rRNA from 1 species
UACGGGGGGAGCAAGCGUUGUUCGGAUUUACUGGGCGUAAAGGGCGCGUAGGCGGCCAGCACAAGUCAGUUGUGAAAUCUCCGAGCUUAACUCGGAACGGUCAACUGAUACUGUGCGGCUAGAGUGCGGAAGGGGCAACUGGAAUUCUUGGUGUAGCGGUGAAAUGCUUAGAUAUCGUCAAGAACACCUAUUGCGAAGGCAGCUAACUAAGCUCAAACUGACGCUGAGGCACGAAAGUGUGGGGAUCAAACAGG